UUGGGCGCGCUGCUCCUCGCGCAGAUACUCCUCGCGGUUGAUCAGCAGCUCCGGCUCGAAGGCGUAUUCGCGAAUGUACUCAUCCUGGAAACAAAAAAAGCCACAACCAACAACAGAGUAAAGUGAACUUGGCCACCAUUCCAGGGCAACUGAAGAUCAUGGAAGAUGUUUGGCCGCAGCCGUAGAUUUCAGUGUUCAACAGCUUCCCAAUCCCGAUAUUCGGGCCAAGAUAAAGGCGUGAAUAACGGCAGCAACAACAACACCUGUGCAAAAAUUAAUUAAAAAUGUUAACAAAUAACGUAAUCGUGUAAUAUUUGCACAGAUUCUCGAGAUAAAUUCAAAACUUAUGUAA